GGGCCGCGACUCCACCCUCCUCACACCGACCAUAAAGACUCAUGGGAGGAGGUGGGAAAAUGGAGUCCGCUAACAAAUGGCUUCUAACCAAGAGAACCUGCCUGCAGACAAGCUGGUGGAUGGCCAGCCUUGGCAGGAAGCAGCCAGCGUUUCCAGGGAGUUGAGACUAACCCGACCUGAACCUUAACCCCGAGCAGAGGCACUUGGUUGGUGUGAGAGCUGCCGCACCUCCCUCCCAGCAAACUGAGGAGAUAAACCAGUGUCGCUGACCAGUAAGACAAGUAUGAGACUAAAAGAAUGGACAGUUCUGAACAAACCUAUCGACUGGAUCUUCAACUGUGUUCUAUGUUUAUAUCAUCUGUCUUCUCAUUUGUACCUCAGUAAAUCAUUCCCUGCUGUUCUGUGUA